UUUUUUUUUUUUCCUUUUAUAAUGUGUCACUGUUGAAGUUUUAUGAGUGUUAUGCCCUAAAGCUUUAUUCCUUAUAAGUUGUGGUUUUCACUGUGAACUUCAGAUAGUGCAGUGACUUUUAGGAACUGAUUAUAUAAUCUCCUUUCCUAAAACAUAUAGGCCUUUCUCCUUCAUCUGUGGAAUAUUUGCUUUCCAAAAGUUUCUUGUUGAACAUGUUUCUGCAAAACAAGAGUCAUUUCUAGUUUCUGAAAUUAUUUUUGUUAAGUUCCUAUGCAUGUCACACAUGGAUUACCCACUUCCAAAGAAUUAGGGGACAGUAUAUUUGGUUGCAUAUAUUCGACUUAUUGAAUAAACACCUCAGAAUGUCAGUCUCUACAUAUCUGAUGAUUUGUCUACUUGAUAUUACCUUCUUACAAAGGAAGUUUCAAGAAGCUAGCUCCUUCUCCUCCAGUCCUCUAAAAGAAUAAGAGCUGUGAUUCUGUAAAUCACUUUUGAAAGUAUGGUGGAAAUCUCAAACAGUAGAGGGGUUUAUGGAAAAGAGCUUUCUAAAAAGGCAGUCUACGCCCAAGAUAUCUGCUCCCUUGUCCCCUAAUUCUUUGAGGGACUGUGCAAAUGCCACAUUAGGCAAAAUUACACCCUUUCCAAAUAUUUGUUAAAUACUGGUCACCUAGUAUUUAGCACAGAUGGGACACUCUAGAAGUAUCUUUUUUGACCAUCAUAUUGCCAGCAUCAAACAUGUAACAGCUAAAUACUCAAUAACAGCUCAAUAAAUGCUAUUGAAUAAGUUGUAAGAUACACUAUCCUGUUCACCCUCAUAUUACAUAUUCUUAUAUCUCCUUUACCAUGAACUACUACCUACUAUGACUGUUUUCUCCCCUCUUCUGGAAUUGUGUGACAGACCAGUGAGGGAGUCACCAUCUUGUGAUGGCAGAGAAGAUCACACUUCUCUUCUUGGGAAAGGAAUCAGUUCUAUCUGGCUUUGUACUUCUCUUUGUAUUGUUGACUCCCCACUGUUCACAUCUUUCAUACCUGUCAAAUUUAGGGUCAAAGACUAGAGGGCUGGAAGACAGCGUUGAAUUCCUCACUUGUCCUUAGAAUGCAUCUCCUCUAAAGGUAUUCCAGCUCUGAUCCCUAUACAGCAACCCACAUCCUUGAAUCCCCCUUCAUUGGCCACAGGGCUGAGGUAUUUUCAAAGACAAAAACCAGAAAAGGGCAGUCCUCCAAUUCUGGCUGCAUCUGGAUGGUUCAUUUACAUUGAGCUGACUUUUGAUUUAGGUGGUGCUGGGGAUUGAACCCAGGGUCUUAUGCAUAGUAAGCAAGCACUGUACCACUGAUCUACAUCCCAGCCUACUGAGCUUAUGGGAAAGCUGAGUCUGCUGUAAAAACCACCCUAUUAACAAAAGGGAACUCCACUUCCUAUACAGCUAGUGACCUGGAUGUAGCCUGCCAACGUUUAAUAAAAUACAAAAUAGGGCUGGAGAUGUGGCUCAGUGGAGUGCCCCUGAGUUCAAUCCCUGGUACCAAAACAAAACAAAAAAAACCCCAGGUACCUGGGUGUGGAAGUGCCUGUAAUCCCAGCAGCUCUGGAGGGUAAGGCAGGAGGCUUGCAAGUUCAAGCCCAGCCUUAGCAAUUUAGAGAGGCCCUGGGUUUGAUUCUCAGCACUGCAUAUAAACACAUGAAUAAAAUAAAGGUCUGACAACAUGUAAAAAAACUAUUAAAAAAAAAAAAGGAUUGGAGGUGUAGCUCAGUGGUAAAGUACCCCUGGGUUCAACCCUUAGUACCAAUAGAAAAUAGGUUACUGUGGGAAUCUAAGUACUUCAUUACUCAGCUUUCACACUUCCCAUGUGGCUUCAAGGUAUAAUUACCUAGGUAAACCUAUUAAGGAACCAAAGUUGUAAUAACUUCGCAAUUAGGAAGCUUCCAAGUCUGACUCUUGGUAACAUGAGAAUGGUAUAAGCUUUGUAUCUUGGUCAUCGUGCUACACCUUAAUUCAUAAUGCACAAUGUAUUGAAUGUUAACUAAACCAUUUUCUCUUUUUUUCCUCCCCAAGGCUGAAAGUGCUUAUCUAAUCUGGUCUGCAGAAAAUUUUUGAUAGGUUGGAAUCUAGAAUAGAACAUACUGAAUUUAUCUCUCUAUUCAAUAUGUGCAUAGAGUAAAAUAAAGUUAUGAGAGCACUUUUCUUCUUAAGUUCACCAAUCUUUC
rnacentral:lncRNA from 1 species